UCGCCUGUUUAUCAAAAACAUGGUUUCUUGUAAUUAUUUAGGAGAUCUGACCUGCCCACUGAAAAUAUUUUAAAGGGCCGCAGUAUUUUGACUGUGCAAAGGUAGCAUAAUCAUUAGUCUUUUAAUUGAAGGCUGGUAUGAAUGGUUGGAUGAGGUAAAUUCUGUUUUAUGUUAAUUGGUGUUGAAUUUAGAUUUUAAGUAAAAAUACUUAAAUGUUAUUAAGGGACGAGAAGACCCUAUAGAGUUUAAUAAAUGUAGUAAUUAAUUGAGUUAAAGCUUAAUUUUUGGUUUUUAUGUAAUUUAUUUAAUUGGGGUGAUUGGAAGAUAAAAUAAACUCUUCUUUAUAUUUAAUAAGUUAAUUAGUUGUAUGAUCCAUAUUUAAUGAUUAAAAGAUUAAAUUACCUUAGGGAUAACAGCAUAAUUCUUUUUAAGAGUUCAUAUCGAAAAAAGAGAUUGUGACCUCGAUGUUGGAUUAAGAUUAGUUAUGGGUGCAGAUGUUCAAUAACUAGGUCUGUUCGACCUUGAAAAUCUUACAUGAUCUGAGUUCAAACCGGAGACUGA
rnacentral:rRNA from 1 species